CUUAUACUCCCUUCGUCUAACAAAGUAUGUCUUAACUUUGACUAAAUUAAAUGUAUCUAUACACUAUAUUACGUCUAGAUACAUUUAAAUUUUGACAAACUUAAGACAUCUUUUGUUGAACGGAGGGAGUACAAA
rfam:Brachypodium distachyon strain Bd21 chromosome 1, whole genome shotgun sequence.